rfam:Alpha proteobacterium IMCC14465 IMCC14465_6, whole genome shotgun sequence.
CUUGGUGACUAUUGCGAAGUGCCUAAACCCGAUCCCAUCCCGAACUCGGCCGUUAAACACUUCUGCGCUGAUGGUACUGCAUCUUAAGGUGUGGGAGAGUAAGUCGUUGCCAGGC